AACGAACGCUGGCGGCAGGCUUAACACAUGCAAGUCGAACGCAUCGCAAGAUGAGUGGCAGACGGGUGAGUAACGCGUGGGAACAUACCCUUUUCUACGGAAUAGCUCUGGGAAACUGGAAUUAAUACCGUAUACGCCCUACGGGGGAAAGAUUUAUCGGGGAAGGAUUGGCCCGCGCUGGAUUAGCUAGUUGGUGGGGUAAAGGCCUACCAAGGCGACGAUCCAUAGCUGGUCUGAGAGGAUGAUCUGCCACAUUGGGACUGAGACACGGCCCAAACUCCUACGGGAGGCAGCAGUGGGGAAUAUUGGACAAUGGGCGCAAGCCUGAUCCAGCCAUGCCGCGUGAGUGAUGAAGGCCUUAGGGUUGUAAAGCUCUUUCACCGAUGAAGAUAAUGACGGUAGUCGGAGAAGAAGCCCCGGCUAACUUCGUGCCAGCAGCCGCCGUAACAC
rnacentral:rRNA from 1 species